rnacentral:rRNA from 1 species
ACAGCAGUAGCCGCGGUAACACGAAGGGUGCAAGCGUUAAUCGGAAUUACUGGGCGUAAAGCGUGCGUAGGCGGUUUGUUAAGUCUGCUGUGAAAUCCCCGGGCUCAACCUGGGAAUGGCAGUGGAUACUGGCAAGCUAGAGUGUGUCAGAGGAUGGUGGAAUUCCCGGUGUAGCGGUGAAAUGCGUAGAGAUCGGGAGGAACAUCAGUGGCGAAGGCGGCCAUCUGGGACAACACUGACGCUGAGGCACGAAAGCGUGGGGAGCAAACAGGAUCAGAUACCCGCGUAGUCCCUGUCUCUUAUAC